rnacentral:rRNA from 1 species
AGUGAACGCUGGCGGCAGGCCUAACACAUGCAAGUCGAACGGCAGCGCAGUAAGAGCUUGCUCUUACGGGUGGCGAGUGGCGGACGGGUGAGGAAUACAUCGGAAUCUACUUUGUCGUGGGUGAUAACGUAGGGAAACAUACGCUAAUACCGCAUACGACCUACGGGGGAAAGCAGGGGAUCUUAGGACCUUGCGCGAUUGAAUGAGCCGAUGUCGGAUUAGCUAGUUGGCGGGGUAAAGGCCCACCAAGGCGACGAUCCGUAGCUGGUCUGAGAGGAUGAUCAGCCACACUGGAACUGAGACACGGUCCAGACUCCUACGGGAGGCAGCAGUGGGGAAUAUUGGACAAUGGGCGCAAGCCUGAUCCAGCCAUACCGCGUGGGUGAAGAAGGCCUUCGGGUUGUAAAGCCCUUUUGUUGGGAAAGAAGAGCAGCAGGUUAAUACCCCGCUGUUCUGACGGUACCCAAAGAAUAAGCACCGGCUAACUUCGUG